rnacentral:tRNA from 1 species
GCUGAAGUAGCUCAGCUGGUAGAGCAACGCAUUCGUAAUGCGUAGGUCACGGGUUCAAAUCCCGUCUUCAGCU